rnacentral:rRNA from 1 species
CUGCUCAAUGAUUUUUUAAAUUGCUGUGGUAUUUUGACUAUACAAAGGUAUUGUAAUAAGAUUUUAAUUGAAUGCUAAGAGAAUGGAAAUACAAAGAACAACUAUUUUAAACUUAAAAAUUAAAGUUAUUUUAAUUUGUGAAGAAACAAUUAUUAAAAUUAAGGACAAGAAGACCCUAAGAAUUUUAGAAUUGAUAAAUUUUUUUAAUUAAAAAUUAUUAAUUUUUAGUUGGGGCAACUAAAAAAUAUUAUAAACUUUUUUAUAAAUAAAAUGACCCAUUAUUAAUGAUAAUUUGAAAAAAAUACUCUAGGGAUAACAGCGUAAUAAUUUUUGAUAGAACAUAUAGACAAAAUAGUUUGCGACCUCGAUGUUGGAUUAGGAUUCUUUUUUAAUGAAGAUGUUAAAAAAAGAAGUUUGUUCAACUUUUAAAGUCCUACUUGAUCUGAGUUCAGACCGG